UACGGAGGGUGCAAGCGUUGUUCGGAAUUACUGGGCGUAAAGCGCGUGUGGGCGGACCGGUAAGUCGGGAGUGAAAGCCCUGGGCUCAACCCAGGAAGUGCUUCCGAUACUGCCGGCCUUGAGUUCCGGAGAGGGUGGUGGAAUUCCCGGUGUAGAGGUGAAAUUCGUAGAUAUCGGGAGGAACACCAGUGGCGAAGGCGCCCACCUGGACGAGGACUGACGCUGAGACGCGAAAGCGUGGGGAGCAAACAGG
rnacentral:rRNA from 1 species